rnacentral:rRNA from 1 species
UUGGAGGGCAAGUCUGGUGCCAGCAGCCGCGGUAAUUCCAGCUCCAAUAGCGUAUAUUAAAGUUGUUGCAGUUAAAAAGCUCGUAGUUGAAUUUCGGGGUUAGUAGGUUGGUCAUGCCUCUGGUGCGUACUGGUCUCACUGAUUCCUCCUUCCUGAUGAACCUUAAUGCCAUUAACUUGGUGUUUUGGGGAAUUUGGACUGUUACUUUGAAAAAAUUAGAGUGUUUAAAGCAAGCUAACGCUUGAAUACAUUAGCAUGGAAUAAUGAAACAGGACGUUCGAUCCUAUUUUGUUGGUUUCUAGGGUUGACGUAAUGAUUAAUAGGGAUAGUUGGGGGCAUUAGUAUUCAAUUGUCAGAGGUGAAAUUCUUGGAUUUAUUGAAGACUAACUACUGCGAAAGCAUUUGCCAAGGAUGUUUUCAUUAAUCAAGAACGAAAGUUAGGGGAUCGAAGACGAUCAGAUACCGUCGUAGUCUUAACCAUAAACUAUGCCGACUAGGGAUCGGAUGAUGUUAAUUUUUUAAUGACUCAUUCGGCGCCUUACGGGAAAC